rnacentral:rRNA from 1 species
GAGUUUGAUCCUGGCUCAGGACGAACGCUGGCGGCGUGCUUAACACAUGCAAGUUGAACGGGGCAUAUUUGAAGGGUAACCGGAGGGUAUGUCUAGUGGCGAACGGGUGAGUAAUGCAUGAGAACGUAUCCUCAUGAGGGGGACAACAUUGGGAAACCGAUGCUAAUACCCCAUAAGCCGGGAGGUAAAAGGAGCAAUCCGCUUGAGGAGCGGUUCAUGUCCUAUCAGCUAGUUGGUGAGGUAACGGCUCACCAAGGCGAAGACGGGUAGCCGGCCUGAGAGGGUGAACGGCCACACUGGAACUGAGAGACGGUCCAGACUCCUACGGGAGGCAGCAGUGGGGAAUAUUGGGCAAUGGGGGAAACCCUGACCCAGCGACGCCGCGUGAGGGAAGAAGGCCUUAGGGUCGUAAACCUCUGUUGUGUGGGAAGAAGGGCGUGACGGUAAC